AGGGAGUUCUGUGUAUUCUUCUCUAGAAUUCCCAUGCUAAGCAUGGAGAAGAGCAAGGCACAUCCCAGCAUGACCUGGGAUCCUGAUGAGACCAUGUCACUGCAUUUGGAGAGAUAGCUAACACAAUGGUGUGUGUGUGUGUGUGUGUGUGUGUGUGUGUGUGUGUGUGUGUGUGUGUGUGAUUUUAUAUGAGGAUCCUGAAGAGCCCAUGUUUUUAAAGAUAGCUAACAUGUGGGAGAGCAUACUACCAGGGGCGGGUCACCAAGCUAACAGAAUGUAUAUGCCAGAAGAGUCUCUGCUUUAUCUUAUCCUACUUCCUCCAACAUGUAGCCACAUCUUCCAGUCUGUCAUUCAAGCUCCUUUUGAAAGUUAAAGCCACUGUGAGUGACCCUUGGCUCCUGAAACACACACAACUCACAAAAGCAGCCUUCAGGUUAUGACCUAAAUAGGCCCAAAUCUCUGCUACAGUGGAGGAAUGAUUCCCCAAAACAGCACACAUUAGGACCACAGAGCUCAUGGCCUUAAAGGGCCAUAGCUCCCCCCCCCCAUGCUUUCCGAGGAAGUCAUGAAGAGAGGUGUGUGUCAGGAUAUACCACAUAGGAUCCAUCUUUCAACCUCCCUUCACAUUGUCUCGUGCCCUGACAGGUAGGAGUAACAGCUGAUCCCAUGACCAGUGCCCCGGCACGUGUGACAUUCCCUGAACCUGGGCUGUGUUCUUCCCUGCCUCUUCUCCAUGUCUUAAGAGGCAACCCUGCAGCUUGCUCAGCCUUUACUCUGGUUCUCUCCAUCCAGAUCUCAACACUGACUAGGUUAGAAGGCAUCUCACAGCCAGGGUCCGGGCAGCCAGGGGAUUAUUUGCAGAGGAAUAUGUGUACAUACAUGUGCUAUGAUGUCCAUUUAUAUGUGUGCACUUAUGUACAGCAUAUAUGUGCUCAUGUACAUGCAGCUAUCCUUGUUACACUGUCACCUCUGUGCACUUUUGACCUUCUUGUCUUACUCUGCAUUUGCCAUUAAAAACGUUGAGUUUCAGGGAUUGGGGGGUGGGGGGUGGCUUGGUGAUUAAAGGCAUUUGUCACUAAGCUUGACAACUUGAGGUCAAACCCUGAAGCCCAUUGUGUGAACUGACUCAAGGAAAACUGAUUUUGUCUGUCCUAUAGUGUGUAUAACACAUCAAAUAAACAAACAAUAAUAAAAAAUAUAAUUAAAAAUGUUUUUCCAUAAUGCUAUCCCCUUCUCAAAUGUUACCCCUGAAGCCACUGUGAUCAUUGGUCAAUGCUUAGCUUGGGAAUGGCCUGUGACCCUCUUUGUCCCUGCUGGUCAUGCAGACAUAGAACUCAUGUCGCAUGUGCCCUUGUUUGUCCAUUGUUUGACUGCAGAAGGCUUCAAAGACAGAGACUAGGUCUGAGUCACUUUUCCCUCUGCAGCAAUUUGCCAUAUCUGGGCCACAAGUAGACUCACAUAAUGAAUAAAAUAAUGAAUAAGUGAAGUUAAUAAAAUUACUGUAUAAAUAAUACAUAGGAAAAAGAACAUUGCCGGUAAACCAUUAACUCGUGUAUAGGCAUAAUUAACCCAAAGAGGUAAUUACUGUAUGCUAACACAAGUACAGUGUAAGUCAGAGAAUGAUGAGGUUCAAUGUCAGACUGGGCACAGGUCCCUGCCACACAGAAAAGGGGCCAGAAUUGUUUUCAAAAUCGGAGGUGUCAUUGACAUGCAGUGAAGUAGCAAGCCUUGGUUGGCUGGGACUUAUAUGUGUGUCCGUGGACCCACAGCCAGUCAGAUAUGGAAUGUAAAACAACUUUUCUUGGGUUCUAUCCAAGAGAUAGAGUACUGGUUAGUUUUAAUCAUUAAUUUCAUGUAAUCUAGAAUCACCUUGAAGAGUCUCUAUGAGGAACUUUCUAGAUCAUGCUGACCUGUGGGCAUGUCUUGGGGAGAAGAUUUUUCUAUUCUAUCAAAAUAGAAGAUCUGUCGGUGGCACCAUUCUUAAAUAGGGGAUGCUGGACCAUUUAAGAAGAGAAGAAGUGAGCUGAAGAGUGAGGAUAUAUGCCUUCAUAUCCAUGCUCCUGAUUCUGAAUGUAAUAUGCCUAGCAUAAGUUUCUGUUGCCUUGACUUCUCCCAUGAUGGACUGUAUUAUCUCAGAAUUAGGAACCAAAAUAAACCCUUUCUCUC
rnacentral:lncRNA from 1 species